AGAGUUUGAUCCUGGCUCAGGAUGAACGCUAGCGACAGGCUUAACACAUGCAAGUCGAGGGGCAGCACAGGUAGCAAUACCGGGUGGCGACCGGCGCACGGGUGAGUAACGCGUAUGCAACUUACCUAUCAGAGGGGGAUAACCCGGCGAAAGUCGGACUAAUACCGCAUGAAGCAGGGGUCCCGCAUGGGGAUAUUUGCUAAAGAUUCAUCGCUGAUAGAUAGGCAUGCGUUCCAUUAGGCAGUUGGCGGGGUAACGGCCCACCAAACCGACGAUGGAUAGGGGUUCUGAGAGGAAGGUCCCCCACAUUGGUACUGAGACACGGACCAAACUCCUACGGGAGGCAGCAGUGAGGAAUAUUGGUCAAUGGGCGUAAGCCUGAACCAGCCAAGUCGCGUGAGGGAUGAAGGUUCUAUGGAUCGUAAACCUCUUUUAUAAGGGAAUAAAGUGCGGGACGUGUCCCGUUUUGUAUGUACCUUAUGAAUAAGGAUCGGCUAACUCCGUGCCAGCAGCCGCGGUAAUACGGAGGAUCCGAGCGUUAUCCGGAUUUAUUGGGUUUAAAGGGUGCGUAGGCGGCCUUUUAAGUCAGCGGUGAAAGUCUGUGGCUCAACCAUAGAAUUGCCGUUGAAACUGGGGGGCUUGAGUAUGUUUGAGGCAGGCGGAAUGCGUGGUGUAGCGGUGAAAUGCUUAGAUAUCACGCAGAACCCCGAUUGCGAAGGCAGCCUGCCAAGCCAUGACUGACGCUGAUGCACGAAAGCGUGGGGAUCAAACAGGAUUAGAUACCCUGGUAGUCCACGCAGUAAACGAUGAUCACUAGCUGUUUGCGAUACAGUGUAAGCGGCACAGCGAAAGCGUUAAGUGAUCCACCUGGGGAGUACGCCGGCAACGGUGAAACUCAAAGGAAUUGACGGGGGCCCGCACAAGCGGAGGAACAUGUGGUUUAAUUCGAUGAUACGCGAGGAACCUUACCCGGGUUUGAACGCAUUCGGACCGAGGUGGAAACACCUUUUCUAGCAAUAGCCGUUUGCGAGGUGCUGCAUGGUUGUCGUCAGCUCGUGCCGUGAGGUGUCGGCUUAAGUGCCAUAACGAGCGCAACCCUUGCCACUAGUUACUAACAGGUAAAGCUGAGGACUCUGGUGGGACUGCCAGCGUAAGCUGCGAGGAAGGCGGGGAUGACGUCAAAUCAGCACGGCCCUUACAUCCGGGGCGACACACGUGUUACAAUGGCGUGGACAAAGGGAAGCCACCUGGCGACAGGGAGCGAAUCCCCAAACCACGUCUCAGUUCGGAUCGGAGUCUGCAACCCGACUCCGUGAAGCUGGAUUCGCUAGUAAUCGCGCAUCAGCCAUGGCGCGGUGAAUACGUUCCCGGGCCUUGUACACACCGCCCGUCAAGCCAUGGGAGCCGGGGGUACCUGAAGUCCGUAACCGCGAGGAUCGGCCUAGGGUAAAACUGGUGACUGGGGCUAAGUCGUAACAAGGUAGCCGUACCGGAAGGUGCGGCUG
rnacentral:rRNA from 1 species